rnacentral:lncRNA from 1 species
CAGGUUGGAAUAAUAUAUCUGAAAAUGUUAUAUCGAUCCCUCAUUGAGUUUUAGUAAGAGGCGGGUAUUUUUUCUAGCUUCUUCACAUCCUCCAGCGAUCCUCCCAAAGUAUAACCGAGAGCAUCAUGCUCCACCACCUUAUGUUCAAGGUUGUAACCUUAAAUAACAUAUAGACUUGCACCUUCCUUGUCGAUAAUGUUCCCAUAUACUCAAAAUAAAGGCCUGCUUAAGUUCUUCUAAUGGUUGCUCUUAUUCUGGUACAUGUUUCUGCUUUGUUAUAAUGCUACUUGUUAUGGGUUUUGAUCGUGCUAAUUUCUACAGGGCCUGUUCAAUCUCCUAUACUUUCUCCUUCUGCAUCUGUCUUAGGAAAGCCACAGGCACCACAGCUUCAACCUUUCCAUUCACUACCACCUCCAUCACCUGGUCGUUCAUCCUUUAUAAACUAUUCACAUCCAAAAAGUACUCUUCUCCUUGGUGAAGAAUGUUGAAAUGAUAAACAUACUGAUUUCGUGAUCUAUCUUUAUGUGUUGAUAGUGCAUUUAUGGCAACAUAUGAUGUGCAGAGCCUGCUGUUUCUCCAACACCCACAAUAUCUCCUGUCAACUAUGGGAGACAUGGCAUGCCAGUUCUUGCACCACCAAAGGAUAUAUCUAGCCAUUUAUCUCCCAAAAAUUAUUCGCACACAAAAGGUAUUUAUAUCCUCCAUGAAAAAUGUUCCAAUGAGGGUAAUAAAUACCAAUUCAAUGUCUAAUCUUUUAUACAUGCUCUUUUCCUAUUAUAAGCCCUGCUUCACAUGAGGUUGAUAGACCCUUAGGUACAGUACAUUCUCCUUUCACUUCGCCUCCCAAACCUUCAAUACAAAGAAGACUUCAUAGCCCUGCACCAGCACCCCUAUUUUCAUUUCACCAAUCGACUGCUAGAGAAAGAACAGGAAGCCUUGCAUCUGCUCCAUCUCCACAAUCUUAUAAUCUAGGGUGGAAUAAUAUACCUGAAAAUGUUAUACCGAUCCCUCAUUGAGUUUUAGUAAGAGGCGGGUGUUUUUUCCAGCUUCUUCACAUCCUCCAAUAGUACUCCCAAAGCAUAAUCGAGAGCAUUAUGCUCCAUCACUCUAUGUUCAAGGUUGUAAUCUUAUUAAAUAACAUAUAGACUUGCACCUUCCCUGUCAAUAAUGUUCCCACCUACUCAAAAUAAAAGUCUGCUUAAGUGCUGCUAAUGGUUGCUCUUAUUUUGAUGCAUAUUUCUCCUUUGUUAUAAUGCUAUUUGUUUUGGGUUUUUAAUCGUGCUCAUUCCUACAGGGUCUGUUCAAUCUCCUGUACUUUCUCCUCCUGCAUCUACCUCAGGAAAGCCACGGGCACCACAGCUUCAACCUUUCCAUUCACUACCACCUCCAUCGCCUGGUCAUUCAUCCCAUAUA